AUGGGUAGCAUUCAUUUAAGAAGCACUUGUCG
rnacentral:piRNA from 1 species